UUUGACAGGUUAAAAACCCUUUCCUCCUUUAUCUGAUUUUUUUCUACUUUUCUGAACACAGACCCGUAAGUGAAAACUUUUCGACAUCUAAUUUCACUUUUCUGCACCAAUUCAAGUUAGGAGUAUACUUUACAUCACUUUUCUGGCCAAUUGCUUCAUAUAUAAGGCCCUCCAAUUCAGAUUUUUUGUGGCACAAUACGAAAGCACCACCAGCAAGGAGGAACAAGAAGAGGAAGUAGUCGCUCUAAUCGAACACCGCACCCAUGAAGUCGAAAACAUCCACAAACGCGUCGCUUAUUACCAAUCUCUGGUCACUCUUUUCACUACUACAACUACUAUUACUACUUCCCUUUCAAUAUCAUGCUUGUUUUUUUUUGUGGUGUAUACAAGAAUGUUGUUUUUUAUCACUGUUAUCAUAGAUUUGUUUGUUCUGAAGUGAAGCUUUGUUGUGUGUUAUAGCUACUAAAGGUGUAGAUUUUAUAGGGUGGUUAAUAUAAGAUUGUGAAUGAUGUGCAGCUUGAGGAGGCAGAGAAAAGGUUGCAGGAUUCUGAAUCGAACCAGCCAAUGCAGUUUCGUCUAGGAAAAAUAACAGCUUGGAUAAUGGGAUUAAACCGGUGAAGAUGGACUGGCGAUCAAGCAGUCCUGUUGAUAGGAAUGAAGUUUUUUUCCAUGUGAUACUAAUUUAGUUUUAAUGAAGUUCGAAAAAUGUGCUAAAGUUUUGGAACAUGUUGUCAGUCCUCGAGGUGCUAAUUGGAUGCACAUUUUAUAUCAGGUUGACGUGCUACCAUUUUGCCCUGGUGAAUUUUGAGAUACUCUUUCAAGAAGUACUGAUGUAUCUUAAUGAUGCUUCUCCUUAUGUCUGUCUAAUUGGCCAAUUGUUGUCUUUAUUACUUUGAAUAUCAUUUCCUUCAUUACUAAAUGAUUUAGAAAUCCUAUUGCAUGGGAAAGCUUGAAAACUUUAGUGCACUGGUUUUCUUCCUUUGCACAAAUAAAAGCAAAGUUGUAAUUUCUUUUUCCAGGUCCAUACAAAUGAAUAGGACUCCAGAUAGGCUACUUGUCAUUUUGGGGUUAGUAAAUUGGAAUGAC